UCAGGCAAGCGUGAUGAUCGCUCUUUGUAUAAGACAAAGAGAGGAAAGUCCGAACAUUCCUUUAACGCAAGUUAAAGAAAAGCCUAGCGGGUAACGCCCGUCGUCCGUAAGGACAGAGAUGCGAACAGUGACGCGAGACCCGAGAGGGUUAAGACACCGCAUUAGCGGUGUAUGCCUUAAGUAAUUAAGGAGUGAAACGGCUAAAUUCUUAGGUGAAUGCAAGAACAAAUAUCUGGCAGAAGAUGAUGAUGAUUUUCUGUCAGUGAAAGGUAGUUCGCUAGAGCCCGGUGGUAACAUCGAGCCAAGACAAAUGAUCAUCGUCCUGCAUAUGCAGGAUAACAGAAUUCGGCUUACGGCUUGCCUGACAUC
rnacentral:RNase_P_RNA from 1 species